GGAUUUCACGGUGAACUGCUGCUAUUGGCAAAUGCAUCCGUGGUAGUGAAGCACCUAGGUUUAAAUAAUUUUUGGCACUGGAUGGCUAAGUCUUUGAAUUACCACAAGACAAGAUCACAGCAAAAAAUAACAUAGGAAAUAGUAAAGACUGGAUCAGUUUAUCACAUGUUACUCAGUUUCAUAUACUGAAGGCCAUAGCAGGAAACAGUUCCACUCAGAGCAAAGGACUUCAGAAGUGUGAGCAGGGUUAAGAAGUUCUGGGGUACCCAGCAACCAGCAACAGCAGGAAGGCACCACUAUACUCAGUCCUGAAGGGACAAGAGGAUGAAAAAGAGUUAUUGGAACCUCAGCCUUUAGAGGAGAGCCUGCUGGACAGAAGCCAUAGCUGUUCAGG